UUGAUCCUGGGUUCAGGACGAACGCUGGGCGGCAUGCCUAAUACAUGCAAGUCGACCGAUGAAGCUUUCUGCUUGCCAAGAAGCGGGAUUAGUGGCGAACGGGUGAGUAACACGUGGGGAAUCUGCCCAUGAGCGAGGAAUAACAUUCGGAAACGGAUGCUAAUACCUCAUAAGUUCUCUGACCUCCUGGUCAUUGAAUAAAAGACGGCCUUUGUGCUGUCACUCAUGGACGAUCCCGCGGCCUAUUAGAUAGUUGGUGGGGUAACGGCCUACCAAGUCAACGAUAGAUAGCCGACCUGAGAGGGUGAUCGGCCACACUGGAACUGAGACACGGUCCAGACUUCUACGGAAGGCAGCAGUAGGGAAUAUUGGGCAAUGGGCGAAAGCCUGACCCAGCAACGCCGCGUGAGGGAAGAAGGUUCUCGGAUUGUAAACCUCUAUCCUUGGUGAAGAUAAUGACGGUAGCCAAGAAGGAAGCCCCGGCUAACUACGUGCCAGCAGCCGCGGUAAUACGUAGGGGGCAAGCGUUGUCCGGAAUGAUUGGGCGUAAAGGGCUCGUAGGCGGCUAAUCAAGUCUGGAGUGAAAGUCCUGCUUUUAAGGUGGGAAUUGCUUUGGAAACUGAAUAGCUUGAGUGUAGGAGAGGUUAGUGGAAUUCCCAGUGUAGCGGUGAAAUGCGUAGAGAUUGGGAGGAACACCAGUGGCGAAGGCGACUAACUGGACUAUAACUGACGCUGAGGAGCGAAAGUGUGGGUAGCAAACAGGAUUAGAUACCCUGGUAGUCCACACUGUAAACGAUGAAUGCUAGGUGUAGGUGGUAUCGACCCCAUCUGUGCCGCAGUAAACACAAUAAG
rnacentral:rRNA from 1 species